CCUCCCCCCCCCCCCCGGUAAACAAACAGCUCCACCCCCACUGGGAAGAAGACGGGACGGCGGGCCGGGCAGAGAAGGGCAGACAGGCGUCGGGCGAGAACAGCGUGAGUCGCCCAGGACGGGAAGACGAUGGUGACAGGGGUGUGGAUUUCUUGAAAGGACCGUCACUCCGGUUGUCUUCUGCUGGGACGUGUUUGUCUUUCCUGGAGAGGACGGACUUCAUGGUUUGAUCACACUGACGAGUAAUCAACAGGAACCCGAGACUCCGACUCAAAGUGGUCCAUGCCAACCUCUCACAGUCCUCUCCAACACCCCGGCGAAGGAAAAGAAUGCCGGGUUUGAGUGUCACUCGAACCUUCUGCCCCGCCGACGACCUCCACCGCACCCUCGGAAGACUCCGACUCUUUCAAAAGGCGUCCACGGUUCCACAAGAAUGUCCUUCUGUCCUCCACUGUUUCAGCUUCAUUUCCUCUCAGUUCUCCCGACGAGGGCGGCUCUUCACGCGGCUUCUCUCAUUCGUCGCUGGCCUCUAUUCACACACUUGAGAGCGAAAGGGGGGAAAAAAAAAGGCCUCUCCGCCGCCAGUGGAAAGCGAGGAUGAGUGGCUACUCAGCGCGACAUGUGCAUGGGAAAAGGGGCACAAAUUGUUUGAAGUUUGGGUCAGGAGAUAGUCGGGAUAUUGCGGAAAGAUAGAACCGUAUAAACAUUUCAGGCAGUGUAUGCAAAACCAGUGAGGUGAGCACAUUGUGUAAAUGGUAAAUAAAAACAGAAUACAAUGAUUUGCAAAU